GGCCUCGAGGCUCCUGGCAGCCUGCCCGUUUGGCAGCCUCUGCCAGAACAGUCCGUGGAGUACAGACUGCUCCCUGUCUUCUCCCAGUCUGGUCCCUGGAGAGACUCCAAUCUCCCUGCUCGAGUCCUUCCCUUUUCUGCUUAUCAUGGGGAAGGAAUAUGCGUCUAGGCGUUAAAUCGCUCGAGUGCCAGCUGGCACAGCACAGCCACAGGGCCCCAGCAGGAGCGGGCCUCAGUUCUCAGAGAGCUGCACAAAGACCAAAGCAAAUUUAUUACUGUUUUUCAGUUUACAAAUGGGAAAUCCACAACAUUGGUCAAGAAGAAAAGGCACCAUGAAUGGGAAGACCGAAGUGCAGACAACCAGCUGGAACAAGGGUGAAAAUAUAGGAGAUUACGAUCCAUUCCUGGGUGGACGGCCAGCGUUCCAUCUUCACUAACACGAUAUAGUUGAAGAGCAUCAGGUAUCCGAUAUACGCCAGCUGUAAGGAGACACAAUACAGUGCUCUGGCUGUUCAGGCCCAGGAGCCCCAGCAUCAGCCAAGGCCACUGCACAGCAGCACAGAGCAGGGUCAGCAAGCAGGACACAGACUUUAUGACAAAAGGAACUUGAAGGUGCUAAACUAACAAAAGAAUUAGAAAAGACAGUAAUACUUGAAGGAUUAUAAUAUGCAAUCUUCCUUUUGACCUGUACAUGUAUCUCUGGGGCUCUGGUGCUUCGUUUAAAUCUAUGUGUCAUGAUGCAUCAUUUCGCCUUGCAGUUACCCAUUUUUGUGUGUUUUCUUGGCUAAAAAGGGAGCCUUGGCUGUCAGUGGCGGCUCUUGCUCAGGCGUGGACCUUAGGUUCUUAAACUAGGGCAGCACAGUGGAUUUUUGCCUCACGAAUGCCAGGCAGAAUAAGUGUCUGUGAGAAGCAAAGGAAGAGGAAGACACAUGUAACACCUGUAAAUUGGUCAAACCAACAUAAAAAUAGCCCAGGCUUAAAGUGCUUCGCUUGUCAGUGCCCUGGGAGGGUCUUACCUGUUUUCAUUUCACCACUUUCCUGUCCUAAUCAAGUUAAGAUAAGAUAUUCCUUCCUGGUGUCUGCUUCAUUGAAACAACACAAGAAAAGACAACACAGUUUACAGAAAGGAAAGGGUCCGUGUGGCCUUUUGUGGACGGGUGUGGGGUUUAAUCCCCAAGAGGCUCUGGCUCGUGGGGUUGAAUCCUGAUGUGACUGGCUGAAUUGCUGGAUGUCUGGGAAGAACUCCCUAGGGUUUGGUGACUGCUCCUGGAAGAUUCAGUUGUGUCAAGGUGAGUGAAGUGCAGGGAAACUGGUGGCUCUUGCAUAAGGGGCUGAGGAGCCUUGAGAGAAGACUCACUCACCUUAAGGGAAAUGGCAGACUAGCUGGGCCUUCCUUACACAAUGCCUCAAGUCAAGUGAGGUACUCACUGGCCUUAGGGGCCUCAGGGGCUGUGAGCAGGAACCAAGAGGGAGUUUAUUAACUAAAAUCUGCUGCACUCUUCAGAGUGGUGUAGCAAAGAAUAGACACAGUGUGGGUGAAAGGAUUGAGGCCUUGAGGGGUCUGGAGGUACUGCAUGACUUUGUAGCUGGGAAGGCAGCUUAGAAGGUGGAGGAAGCUGCAGCCUUGCUGGGGGAUAUGCUGCUUUCUCUACUAAUUCUCUUAUGUUUUGGGACAGGGUCUCACUCUCGUCACCCAGGCUGGAGUGCAGUGGCAUUGUGAUCUCGGCUCAUUGUAGCAUUGACUUCCUGGGCUCAGGUAAUUCUCCUACUUCAGCCUCCUGGGUAGCUGGGAUAACAGGCACGUGCCACCACACCCAGCUAAGUUUUUGUAUUUUUAGUGGAGACAGCAUCUCACUUUGUUGGCCAGGCUGAUCUCAAACUCCUGGGCUCAAGAGAUCCUCCUAUCUAUCUUGGCCUCCCAAAAUGCUGGGAUUAUAGGCAUGAGCCACCAUGCUCAGCUGAAUGGAUUCUUCUUUUUUUUUGGAGACUGAGUCUCACUCUAUUGCCCAGGCUGGAGUGCAGUGGUGCGAUCUCGGCUUUCUGCAAACCUCUUCCUGGGUUCAAGCGAUUCUCGUGCCUCAGCCUCCGGAGUAGCUGGGAUUACAGGCACCCAUUACCACGUCUGGCUAAUUUUUGUAUUUUUAGUAGAGACUGAGGUUUCAUCAUGUUGGCCAGGCUGGUCUUGAAUUCCUGACCUCAAGUGAUCUGCCCGCCUCGGCCUCCUAAAGUGCUGGGAUUACAGGUGUGAGCCACUGCGCCUCGCCUAAAUAGAGUCUUAAUAUGACUCCAAGGUAUCUCUGAGACCCCAUCACACUGACACAUUUGCAGACACAACUGUUGCACAAAAGUCCCUCAUCUCUUAAAGGGUGAAGUAUGUCGGAGUUAAAUAAGAUCACUUAUGAGAGCUGGAUAUCUGGGCUCACUCUCUACAUGCAUGGUUUGUGCUGGCACACCCCCACCCCCACCCCCAGGGGCCUAUCAUUUCAACCUAUGCCUAAGUUCCUACCCCUCCCCAUCUUCAGGAGCAUUGGCAAAUCAUGAAAACUUCUCAUGAAGGAGUUUACUUAAAAUUGUGUAGGACGCUGUUUAAAAAUCAGUUCAAAAUGGAACUUGGUUCAUAUGGUUUCCGUUUACCAUUAUUAUACACUGGCAUUAAUUCUGUAGUCCUGUGAGUACAGACUGCAAAAAACAAAAAAAGGACUUUAGUGGUUAAAACUCUAAAAUAUACUCUCAGCCUCCUUCUGACUUGAACUCUUUCCCUCUCCUUGUUGCUUCCUUCUCUUAGUUGGGUCAAAUUCCAUCACUUGUAGGUGAAAUGAAUAUUGUUAACUGCCCUGGUUUUAUCAUUUUGCCCAAAUGAUUGCAAAACAUUCCAAAGCAUUAUCUUCUCUUGUCAUAUGUAGGCCUAGUGACAUGCACAUUCUUCCAGAACCUCUGCAUUUUAAUACUUAAGUAACUCCUUAAACCUAUUUUAAUGCUUAAGUAACUCCUUGAACCUACAUCUGUCCUCUGAAUACAAGUCUAAUGUGUUCAGUGGAAGGAAGGUAGGCAUAGAUAUCAGUGAAGCUUGGAUUUAAAUCUCAGCUCACAUACUUCCUAGCUGUAUCACCUUUUGUAAUGUUAACCUGCCUGGGCCUCCAUUCUGUAACAUGGGAUCACUUCCACUUUCCUUAUAGGGCCUUUAUAAUGACUGGGGAUCUAUAUAUCUAUCUAUCUGUCUGUCUGUAUCUCCCAACACACUGUAGAGGCCCAAUAAAUGCUGGCUGAUAUUAUUCUGUUAUUCUUUUUGUCUCCUCUUCCCUUAGUCCUUACUUCCCUUUGAUCCCCAAUUAACUGUUCACACCUCUCUUCUUUUUUUUUAAAUUGCCCUCAUUAUUGGUUAUGUUUCCUCCACUUUCAUCAUUUUUAGCCCCUGCCUGUUUUUUACAUCACAGUUAUUCUAUAAUGAACUUUUCCCAUAGUCAAGCUAUAAUAUAAUAUUUUGGGACAACUCUCAAAAUACAGACUUCUGAAAAUAGGGUCUUAUGUUUAGAUGGCAUAACAGAGGACUGGCUGCUGUCCUGGAAGCAGCCUAUCAUAGAACUCACCAACAUUCAUGCAGCCUUGCUGUAGAUUAUCUUGACAUGACAUGCUUUAAUUGUGUGUGUGUGUGUGUGUGUGUAUAUAUAUAUAUAUAUGUAUACUCUGUAAGGUUUAGCAACCUGUAUGUAGAAUUUCCAAGCUUUUGAACCUGUGAGUCUUAUUUAAGUAAGUCAGUAGGAGAACUCUAAGAAUUUGUAUUUUAUUAACAUAUAUUCUUUCUAUGCAUUUUCCAUUAACUAAGAUUCAUGCUUCUUAAACUAACUAUCAAACACAAGCACUAAAGCCUGACACAGUUUGCUAUGGAUCCCUGGUGGGGCUUUGCUCUUCCUCACUUCUUCCUGGGCCUUUUUCUACUACCUCUGGAGAGCAGAGGGGCACAUGGUCUUGUAGAGGAUAGAGUUGGUCACUACUAGAGAAACUCAGAGCACACACUGUGUCCUCUGACCUGCAGCCACUUCACACCUUGAAUUUGAAUCCUCUCCAGAUGGAUACCUGAAAUAGGCUCUCAAAACAAGCAGGGUCUAGGAGCCAGUUGGACCCCUGCCUCCUUUCUUCUUGGACCAGAAGAGGACCCAAUCUGCUCCUAGAGAAACUUGCUACGAUGCAGAAGUGAGGUUAUAUGGAAAUGAAGUGUGUCCUACCUUUCAGAAACUUGGGAGAGUAGGAGAGACCAUUUUUGAAAAUCUGGUGAGAAAUACUCUUACAGAGAAAAACACAGCCCAAAGCACAUGGGACCUUCAAUCUGAAAUUGAAUUGUACUGUUAAGCAUGUCUGGUGAUUCAAAAGACUGGCAUACCUUAUUUCCAGUCACUUCCUCGAGGCCUGGGCUUUGUCAAUAUGUGAAGAUGAAUUUUGGAGAAUCAUGUAAACACAAUUGAACAGAUCUGGGGGAUCCAGUCUGAUGGGUUUGCUGAGGCCAAUCCAGUCAGCCACGCAGAAGUGUGCUGGACACACAGGCCCCACCACCCCCCGCCAAAGAGGCAGCCUCCCAACAAGCUGCCAAUGACAUAAGCAAAGCAGCGUGUCUCAAGUGUCUCCAAUCAUAAGAUUCGCCUGGGAAGCUGGUUAAACUAACACAGCCUCUUAGGCUCCUUCCUGAAGACUGGAUUCCAUGGGUCUAUGAUGGGGCUAGAAAUUUGCAUUUCUAACAAAACUCCCUUGUCAUCAUGGACGUUUUAGAGAUAUUGAUACUAUUAUUUCUACUGAUUUCUGCUCUCGGGAGUCUGUAAACUUUUUCUGCAAAUGGCCAACUGGUUAACUUUUAAGGCUUUGUAGAACCGAUAGUCUCUCUCUGUCUCUCACUACUCAUCAACUUGAUGUGGUAGCACAAAAGCAGUCAGUCAGCCUAUUGCUAAUGGUAAAUGAGAUUUAGCCUAAAGCUGCCUCCUUAAGUUCGGCCUGAAGUUUUCUCUGUACAUUGUGAACUAUAACAAAUGAAGGUGUAACAAGACCAAUCACCGAGUUUCGGUCAAUCAAAUGUAGCCAACUGCUCAAACUGUGUUCAAAUAAGGCAAACGCUGAGCUGUAACCAAUCCAGCUGUUUCUGUACCUCACUUCCGUUUUCUGUAUGCCACUUCCCUUUUUCUGUCCAUAAAUCUUCCACCACGUGGCCCUGCCAGAGUCUCUGAGCCUACUCUGGCUUGGAAGACUGCCCAAUUCACGAAUCGUUCAUUUGCUCAAUUAAACUCCUUUAAAUUUAUUCGGCUCAAGUUUUUCUUUUAACAGAAAUCAAGAGUCUGCCUGUGUUCCAAUUAUUUAUGGACACUAAAAUUUGAAUAUGUGUUUCAAGUAUUCCUUUUCAAAUUUUAUUAAAAAUGUAAAAACCAUUCUCAGUUCGCAGGCCACAAUCACAGGCCAUGGGUUGAAUUUGGCUCAAAAGCUGUAGUUUGCCAAGCCCUGUUCUAAGCUAACAGUUGGGGAAUCAUAAUAUAAAAGGAAGGACAGACCUGGGUGUGAAAUAGCUGCAAAAAUAUUAUCUCGGGCUGGGCGCAGUGGUUAUUGCCUGUAAUCCCAGCACUUUGGUAGGCUGAGGCAGGCCCAUAGCUUGAGGCCAGCAGUUCAAGACCAGCCUGGCCAACGUGGCAAAACCCCAUCUCUACUAAAAAUACAAAAAUUAAUUAGCCAGGUGUGGUGGUGAACACCUGUAAUCCCAGCUACUCGGGAGGCUGAGACAUGAGACUCACUUGAAUCCAGGAGAUGGAGGUUGCAGUGAGCCAAGAUUGUACCACUGCACUCCAGCCUAGGUGACAGAGUAAGAGUUUGUCUCCUAAAUAAAUAAAUAUUAUCUUGAUAAAAUAGUUGUUAGGAUUACAAAGAGUACUUAAAUAAUAGUACCUAGAACAUUGCCUCAAACUUAGUAGGUGCUCAAUAAAAGAAAGAUAUUAUUUUUGUUGAGUGGAUGUAUGAACACAACACUGAUUAUCUAUUGCUGGGCAACGUGAAUAGCCUAGAAGAAACAAUAGUCACAGUUACAUUGUACUUAUAUGUCAAGGAACUGUUCUAAGUGCUUUACAUGUUUUAACACAUUUAAUCUUGAUUAAAUCCUAUAAAAUCGGAACUACUAUUAUUGGCAUCUUAAGAAAACUGUGGACAGAAGGGGAAAUUAAGUUGUUUGAGGGCACAUGGUAAGAGGUGCAGAUGGGAUUCCCACCCAGGCUGUCUGAUUCCAAAGUCCAUGCUUGUCACCACUAAGCUGUUUUCUGCAAGGUUAAAAAUAAUAUAGAGC
rnacentral:lncRNA from 1 species